UACGUAGGGUGCGAGCGUUAAUCGGAAUUACUGGGCGUAAAGCGUGCGCAGGCGGUUAUGCAAGACAGAUGUGAAAUCCCCGGGCUCAACCUGGGAACUGCAUUUGUGACUGCAUGGCUGGAGUGCGGCAGAGGGGGAUGGAAUUCCGCGUGUAGCAGUGAAAUGCGUAGAUAUGCGGAGGAGCACCGAUGGCGAAGGCAAUCCCCUGGGCCUGCACUGACGCUCAUGCACGAAAGCGUGGGGAGCAAACAGG
rnacentral:rRNA from 1 species